rnacentral:misc_RNA from 1 species
GAGAUUCACUGCUUCAACCAAAAUGGAUGGUUUGGGUGAGCUUGAUACUGCCUUUGAUGCUGCCAUACAACAUUUCCAAAUGAAACAAGACAAUGUUUCAAUCCUUGUAGGCCUAGUCUCAAGUUUGCCUUGUGUGUUAGCCCUUAGGUUAGCUAUUGCUUUGGCAUCAAACACAAAUCUCCUUGUAAUAUAGUUACCUUCGGUGAACCACAAGCUUUUCAUGAGUGAUAUAUGUUUUUUCGGAAGUGAAGUUGUUGGUGGAAAGAACUGCGAUGCCUCGCUGAGAUUUGGGUAGAUAAUAUCUUUAACAUUUCCACGGGACACACAGCACAUAGUAUUGAGAAAAGCCCUACCCGUAGGUCCAUCAACGAGCUUGUGUGAUGCACAAACAGUUAGUGCUAUCCCUCCGCAAGUAAAUACAGUCACCUGAAUUUCUA